AACACCUCAUCAAGAGAAGCAACCUGGGCAAACCAGGCCUGGUUUAACUGCACUUUCUCACGUUUGAUCAUUUUCUCAAGAGAUACGUGCGUGGUCCUCUGCAAUUCAGAAUGAAAUCUGAACUUCUGGAAAAACUCUCCUAGAGGGGGUUUGAGGACAAGAGACAAGGGAAAUUUGGACACAGACAUACAAAGAGGAGAGAAUGCUAUAUGAAGACACAGAGACAGACAGACCCAGAGAACAGAUGGCCAUGUGACCACAGAGGCUGUGAUUGGCAUUGCAUAGCUACAAGCCAGGAAACUCUGAGGAUUUCCAGAAACCUCCAGAAGUUAGUAGAGAGGUAUGGAAUAGAUUCUCCCCAUGCCUGAGCUG
rnacentral:lncRNA from 10 species